rnacentral:rRNA from 1 species
AGAGUUUGAUCAUGGCUCAGAACGUACGCUGGCGGCACGCCUAACACAUGCAAGUCGAACGAAGUAGCAAUACUUAGUGGCAGACGGGUGAGUAACAUGUAGGUAUCUGCCCUUUGGCCUGGAAUAACACGAGGAAACUUGUGCUAAUACCGGAUAAGUCUUUACGGAGAAAGCUUUAUGCACCAUUGGAUGAGCCUGCACUUGAUUAGUUUGUUGGUGGGGUAAUGGCCUACCAAGACUGUGAUCAAUAGCUGAUUUGAGAGGAUGAUCAGCCACAUUGGGACUGAGACACGGCCCAAACUCCUACGGGAGGCAGCAGUGGGGAAUCUUGCACAAUGGAGGAAACUCUGAUGCAGCGAUGCCGCGUGAGUGAAGAAGGCCCUUGGGUUGUAAAGCUCUUUCGUCGGGGAAGAAAAUGACUGUACCCGAAUAAGAAGGUCCGGCUAACUUCGUGCCAGCAGCCGCGGUAAUACGAAGGGACCUAGCGUAGUUCGGAAUUACUGGGCUUAAAGAGUUCGUAGGUGGUUGAAAAAGUUAGUGGUGAAAUCCCAGAGCUUAACUCUGGAACUGCCAUUAAAACUUUUCAGCUAGAGUAUGAUAGAGGAAAGCAGAAUUUCUAGUGUAGAGGUGAAAUUCGUAGAUAUUAGAAAGAAUACCAAUUGCGAAGGCAGCUUUCUGGAUCAUUACUGACACUGAGGAACGAAAGCAUGGGUAGCGAAGAGGAUUAGAUACCCUCGU